rnacentral:rRNA from 1 species
GAUUAUGGCUCAGGAUGAACGCUAGCUACAGGCUUAACACAUGCAAGUCGAGGGGCAGCAUUGGGGUAGCAAUACUCAGAUGGCGACCGGCGCACGGGUGAGUAACACGUAUCCAACCUGCCGCUUACUCGGGGAUAGCCUUUCGAAAGAAAGAUUAAUACCCGAUGGUAUAAAGAGUUCGCAUGUUCUCUUUAUUAAAGAAUUUCGGUAAGCGAUGGGGAUGCGUUCCAUUAGAUAGUUGGCGGGGUAACGGCCCACCAAGUCUACGAUGGAUAGGGGUUCUGAGAGGAAGGUCCCCCACAUUGGAACUGAGACACGGUCCAAACUCCUACGGGAGGCAGCAGUGAGGAAUAUUGGUCAAUGGACGAGAGUCUGAACCAGCCAAAGUAGCGUGAAGGAUGACUGCCCUAUGGGUUGUAAACUUCUUUUAUAAGGGAAUAAAGUGAGGGACGUGUCCCUUUUUGUAUGUACCUUAUGAAUAAGGAUCGGCUAACUCCGUGCCAGCCGCCGC